rnacentral:rRNA from 1 species
CGAUGGAGGGGGAUAACUACUGGAAACGGUAGCUAAUACCGCAUAACGUCGCAAGACCAAAGAGGGGGACCUUCGGGCCUCUUGCCAUCGGAUGUGCCCAGAUGGGAUUAGCUAGUAGGUGGGGUAACGGCUCACCCAGGCGACGAUCCCUAGCUGGUCUGAGAGGAUGACCAGCCACACUGGAACUGAGACACGGUCCAG